GACGAACGCUGGCGGCGUGCUUAACACAUGCAAGUCGAACGGUAAGGCCCUUCGGGGUACACGAGUGGCGAACGGGUGAGUAACACGUGGGUGAUCUGCCCUGCACUUCGGGAUAAGCCUGGGAAACUGGGUCUAAUACCGGAUAGGACCACUGCCUGCAUGGGUGGUGGUGGAAAGCUUUUGCGGUGUGGGAUGGGCCCGCGGCCUAUCAGCUUGUUGGUGGGGUGAUGGCCUACCAAGGCGACGACGGGUAGCCGGCCUGAGAGGGUGACCGGCCACACUGGGACUGAGAUACGGCCCAGACUCCUACGGGAGGCAGCAGUGGGGAAUAUUGGACAAUGGGCGCAAGCCUGAUGCAGCGACGCCGCGUGAGGGAUGACGGCCCUCGGGUUGUAAACCUCUUUCAGCACCGACGAAGCGCAAGUGACGGUAGGUGCAGAAGAAGGACCGGCCAACUACGUGCCAGCAGCCGCCGUAA
rnacentral:rRNA from 1 species